AGUCGCCUGGCGGACCGGCUGGCGGCCCUGCGGCGGCUCGCGCUCGACGGCUACCCGGUCGGCCUGACGAUCGCGCCGAUCAUGCCGGUCGACGACUG
rnacentral:tRNA from 1 species